AGGGAUUGGGAGCAGAUUGCUGUGUUCCCUGAGAUCCCUCGACUUGGAGGAACCUGCAUAUUAAUUCCAGCUGGCUUCUUCAAUCCAUGCUCCCUGAAACUAACUCUCCUUCUAAAGUUCAGUGUGUGUUUCCAUAUGCUGCAAUAGGUCCCGGACAGAAGUCUACAAGUGGCUUUCUGGGUUUUAGAAGUUUCAAUACAAAACUGCUCUUCAGCAUUAGUUGACUUCUUCUUUAUUUAAUAUUUUGGUUUCCAAAACUGCUUUUGCUCCCCACUUUUUUUUUUUCCUCUUCAUUGAAUUUUUAUCAUUCAAUGGAGAUAAUUCUUCUACCUUAGUUGGAGCAGAAUAGAUAGAAUUAAAUAGCAAGAAAAAACGUAAAACAUUCCAGCACACAUUGAGUGGAUUUAGGCAGAAGGCCAAUACAGCAAAGGUACUCAUGUCAGAAGCAGGCACUGGGAUAAACCAUGUUUCCGUAAGUUACUCAGGCUUUGAUGAAGAAGAUGGUUUCUAUGUGAUGAAACAAUUAGAAAAUAGUAUCUUGGUCACAUCUGCCAGAUCUUCAUAGCUCUGCAUUUCAGUUGUAUAUACAACUUUAUUCGUUUGCAUUCUUAUCUUCACUGUGAUUUAUAGUUUUUCAUUAAAGCACUACCUUGUAAAAGUAGUGGUAGGUGUAGGGUACGUUUAUUUUAAGAUGAUUUGACAAGAGGAAAAGAAGCUUAAAGUAUUUGCAAAGAUAUGCUUGACUAUCUGGCCUUUGCAUUCUUUCUUCCUGGAAUGAAGAUUUUGCAGAAGAAAUUGCCAAAAUAUGGACAUAGCAGACUGUCAGCUAAUGUGAGAAGGAGGGUAUGGAGAUAUAGAAGAGACAAAGCACCAUUUGGCAAGAUUCCUUGUGGAAGAGGAGAAAAUGAGAAGGUACAAAUAUGUACAGCAAACCAAAAACUCCAUGCCAUUCACACUUUUCAUCUUGAAGAGGGUGAAAAGUCUUAGGGAAUUGCAGAGAUAUAAGACAAAUAAAGUCAUUUAGUUAAUUGGCAGCAUUUUUUGUUCUCCGAAAGAGAACAAGAGGGCAGACAGAGAAAAAUUACUUAAAUAUUUUAUUCUUCCCCUAUAUUUUGGGUCUGAGAUUCGUGUUGCAGUGGCUUAUCAUGUCUAAAAGUCUGCCCACCUCUACCAACACAAGCUAUCACAGGAGGGAAGGAAUUCAAGAAAAGGAAUGUUGUUUCUCGCUAAUGGGGUCCCCCAGAAAGGAGGAGUCCAGAUACAGCAGUAAAAUGCUGGUCAGAAGCAGUAAAACAUGUUGAACUGUGGGUGUGGAUAAUGUUCAGGUUUGAAUUUGCUAAGGAAUAUUUAGUUUGGGAGAGGUCAUUAUAAAUUAAAGCGAGGAGUUACCUCUGCUAGACAAGAGAAUAGGGAUUUGGACAAAGUAUUGCGAUAGUUAUUCAUUUAUCCUUUUUUGUCUGCUUUAAGAAAGAAAUCAAAUUCCUGCUGAAGUCAAUGAUUCCUUUCCCUCGGGAUGAAGAAGGUAGAAUCUGACAGAGGGUUUGAGGACUUAUUGCAAGACAAGACGCAGGAAGGACCCUUCCCCCACACAAUCUAUAAAAUUUUCCUUUGUCGCAGUACAGUAUUCUAUUUUAUUUUUUCUUUUCCUAAAGACAACUUAUUAAUUUUUCUCUGAUACCACCACUGUAUAUAGAGCUGGAUCUAUAAUUCAUGAGAAUAUAAACACUGGCAUUAGAAAGAAAACCUGUCAUAAAUUAAGCUAUUAGUCUUUUAAAUGAACAGUGAUGGCUGUGUGGGGAUGCAGAACAUUUAUUGCGAUGCUAAAUAUAGUUUAAUGCUAAAAGGUUUUCAUCAAUAUAUGUUAAGAACAAAACAAUGAAGUGCUUUGAGCUUGAAUUUUUGUUCUCUGUAAAUUGUAUUAGUGCUUUAUUCCCUUUGGUUCUGGAGUUUCUUUGCCCUUUAAAGUCAAGACUAUUUCUAUCGCUCAUUGGAGAACAACUGCAUUUUGAAACUUGGACCUUCCCUCCCUCUGCUUCUACCUCAGCAGCAUCACUGAAGCCAACAAUUUCAAACAGAAGCGGAAGGAAGGAGCUGAGGCUGUUUCACGGAUGCUCCAGGAGAUCCCUCACCGUAAAAGUUGUUUACAAGGAAGUUUCUCAACAAAGCGCUGUUACUCAAAAAGGUGUCCCAGCACACACGCUUUCCAGUUCCUAAUCCCAUUUGACCAAAAGCUGCCACCACCAACCCAACUGCAAAUAUAGAUUCUACUGAAAUAUUAAUUGAAGAAAAGCUCUGAACAAGCACCAAAAGAACAGUCGUCUACAAAUGCUGUCCUUCCACUUUGCAAGUGAACCUCUCCAUAAUGAAAGAGAUGAAUUUAGUGCAUCUUGAGAGAGACCAGCUAGCUGCUAGCAAGUUUCCACCAAUCCAUGCUGCCAACUAUGCUCAAAGCACCCAGAGGAACCUUAAAUUUAAUCGCCCAUUCCUGCUAACCUGGUGUCCAGAGGAUUGCAAGUGCCAGGUCAUUUUUCUGACUUACAGGAGAUACAAACUACCUAAUAGCUGAGCCGUCGCAUAGCAUGUCCUAUACGAGACUGGUGGUUACUGGUGUGGCCAAAUGGGUGUGUUGAAAUCCUGUUUAUUAUAUUCAGUUGAAUGUUUUCCUGAAUGCGAAGGAUUAUUAAUCACCUGUGCGUUGAGUGUGCUCAAAACCUGCUCUGAACGCAGAUGGUACAGAAGAGGAGAAACUGUGCUUUGCUCUGUUGAGUUCACUGGCUGAACAAGGAAAAAGUUGAGGUGCUUUUAGGAAAUAACAACAGGCAAAGCGAGGCCGGGGAAAAGGAGGCAAAAUAGUUUUUCCUGCUCCUGAGCAAACGCUGGCAGUGGCCAACUUCUGAACAUCUGGUCUCCCACUGUGUUUUCUCACAUCAUGCCAAUACCUGACUGGAAUAAACAACUUUAUCUAGAUCCUUGUUUCUUACCAUCAGAGGCCGAUAAGAAAACCUAUUCCUAUCAGCGUGAGAUUCGAGUUGAGGGAAGAAAGAUUUAUGCCUGUUUGAAACCAGCCUCCACCCUGCCUAAUUGUUUAGCUCUGUGGAGAAACACGAAGUUUAAUCAUGCAGAUUCUUAUUUUCCAGGAGGCUGUAGAUCACAGCAUCAAUACUGCUCUCACCACCCACCAGGCAGUCAGCAUACAGCUCCAAUUUGUUUUUACAUGGAAAUGACAGCAUGCUUCCCCUCUACAAUUUACUGUAAUGCUGAUAUUUUGUGUUUCUACAGCUCCCUUCCUUCCCUGGGCUCUGGCUGCUUGGGAAACCUGAAUAUUUCAAACCAACAAGGUGCUCCAGAGGUGAGAAUAAUUCAUAUUCUGAUGGGCUAACCAGGGCACAUAACUACUCUGAUGGCAUUUUGAGAUGUUUCCAGCCCUUCUUGUUGCCACCUGUUCAGAAUGGGAUCCCAUCCAGUUGUUCAGAUUCAACGGGAUCUGAUUCAGCUGUGAAAUCCACAUUCAAAACCCAAGUCUUGCUCUCCUCCAGGAUGAUUUCUCCGAUCUGUUUUGGGCAGCUUAACCGCCACAGCUGAAAAGGCUACUGGUGCUGCUAAGAGAUAGAAAAUGAAGUAGGAAAGGACCAAGUAGGAUAGGAAGGAUAGGUUUUAAAGGCUCUCCUGAAAGAAUAGCAAAACGGAAGCAGCUCCACAGGUGAAGCCAUCGUGGUCCCUACAGGAUUAAAGCCCAGCUCUUCUUGUUUCUAUUCUUGUCUUCUAACCUUCGAAUCACCUCAGUGAUAGAUACCUGCAAACCAAACGUUUUAUUUGCAAGCCCUUUAUACCCUCAGCUAUUUAAACAGAUGUACUACUUUGGAUGGGGAAAUAUAUUUGGAAAAUUAUCUAUUUUCAGCACUUAUAAGAACAUCUGAGCUGUCAAAAGUCUCUUUUCAUAUUCAGCUUUAUAAAAAUUUCUUUACUGUAGGUGUGCAGGUUCUUUGUAAGGGAUUGAGAGCUGGGCUCAAUUUUUACUUACAGCAGGCUCGUCAUUCAGCUCAGAGCAUCUCCCACAACCGCUUAAAAGAAAAAAAUCACACUUAAUAGCAUUGUCUUAUUAUUACUAUCAUCUUGCAUCCAAUACAAGCUUGAAUAUAAUAAAUGUUAUGAAUAUA